UACGUAGGGGUGCAAGCGUUUGUCCGGAAUUAUUGGGCGUAAAGAGCUCGUAGGCGGCUUGUCGCGUCGGCUGUGAAAACCCGGGGCUCAACCCCGGGCCUGCAGUCGAUACGGGCAGGCUAGAGUCCGGAAGAGGCGAGUGGAAUUCCCGGUGUCAGCGGUGAAAUGCGCAGAUAUCAGGAGGAACACCGGUGGCGAAGGCGGGUCUCUGGGCCGGAUACUGACGCUGGAGGAGCGAAAGCGUGGGGAGCGAACAGG
rnacentral:rRNA from 1 species